rnacentral:rRNA from 1 species
GCAGUAGCCGCGGGAAUACGUAAGGUGCGAGCGUUAAUCGGAAUUACUGGGCGUAAAGCGUGCGCAGGCGGUUGUGUAAGACAGGUGUGAAAUCCCCGGGCUUAACCUGGGAACUGCGCUUGUGACUGCACAGCUAGAGUAUGGCAGAGGGGGGUGGAAUUCCACGUGUAGCAGUGAAAUGCGUAGAGAUGUGGAGGAACACCGAUGGCGAAGGCAGCCCCCUGGGCCAAUACUGACGCUCAUGCACGAAAGCGUGGGGAGCAAACAGGAUUAGAUACCCGAGUAGUCCCUGUCUCUUAUAC